UGGGGAAUAUUUCACAAUGGAGGGAACUCUGAUGCAGCGACGCCGCGUGAGUGAUGAAGGAAUUCGUUUCGUAAAACUCUGUUCUCUGGGAAGAAAAGGACUGUACCAUAGGAGAAAGCUCCGGCUAAAUACGUGCCAGCAGCCGCGGUAAUACGUAUGGAGCGAGCGUUGUCCGGAAUUAUUGGGCGUAAAGGGUGCGCAGGCGGCUUUACAAGUUGGAUGUGAAAUAUUGUGGCUCAACCACAAACGUGCAUCCAAAACUGCAAAGCUUGAGUUAAGGAGAGGGAAGUGGAAUUCCUGGUGUAGCGGUGGAAUGCGUAGAUAUCAGGAGGAAUACCGGUGGCGAAGGCGACUUACUGGACUUAAACUGACGCUGAGGCACGAAAGCGUGGGGAGCAAACAGG
rnacentral:rRNA from 1 species